ensembl:lncRNA
GUUGGUCAUCCUCUCGCCUCUGUUCCCUCCUCGGCCUGGGGUUACUGCGAGUCUGGCGCUGAAGACUGAAGCUGCUAACGUUAUAUUCGAAUGGGACAGUUAUAUUGCUUCAAUUGGUCUCCUACUUCAUUUGAUUCCACCAUCAUUACAAGGCUGCAAGGGAUCUGGAAAAAUGUCAUCCUGUCAAGCUGAAAAACAUCUUCAAAAAGGCACUAACAAGAACAGCUUGAUUGUAGAGAAGAGACCACACAGCCAUACACGCUCACUGAUGGGACGAUGAGGAACAUCAUUCAUGGAUGCUACACAACUCAAAUCUACACGUCAUAUUUGUUCAUGUCUAGGUAAAUUUGAUGAUUUUGUGUUUUAUUAACUACUUUGUUUCUGUGCAACACUUAAUGAAUGUGACUGACUAAUUAACCUCUACACAUCUGCUAUAUGCUUUAAAGUUGCCACUUUGCCCAUUUGUUCAAUAAAUGUUGAAAUGUAUACAUCUGUCUGAAGACUUUCCUGAUUUUAUGUCUAUCCUUUUACAUUAACUUUAUUUUUAUCAUAAUUAACAUUAUUUUUUUUGUUUGCACUGAAAAGAGGACAUUAUUAAUUACGCUUAAAA